GACGAACGCUGGCGGCGUGCUUAACACAUGCCAGUCGUACGGUAAGGCCCUUUCGGGGGUACACGAGUGGCGAACGGGUGAGUAACACGUGAGUAACCUGCCCACAACUUUGGGAUAACGCUAGGAAACUGGUGCUAAUACUGGAUAUGUGCCCCUGCUGCAUGGUGGGGGUUGGAAAGCUCCGGCGGUUGUGGAUGGACUCGCGGCCUAUCAGCUUGUUGGUGGGGUAGUGGCCUACCAAGGCGGCGACGGGUAGCCGGCCUGAGAGGGUGACCGGCCACAUUGGGACUGAGAUACGGCCCAGACUGCUACGGGAGGCAGCAGUGGGGAAUAUUGCACAAUGGGCGCAAGCCUGAUGCAGCAACGCCGCGUGCGGGAUGACGGCCUUCGGGUUGUAAACCGCUUUCAGCAGGGACGAAGCUUUUUGUGACGGUACCUGCAGAAGAAGCACCGGCUAACUACGUG
rnacentral:rRNA from 1 species